rnacentral:rRNA from 1 species
UACGGAGGGUGCAAGCGUUAUCCGGAUUCACUGGGUUUAAAGGGCGCGUAGGCGGUGCGGUACGGUUUCGGUGAAAUCCCUCGGCCCAACCGAGGAACAGCCGGAGCUACGGCCGGACUAGACGGCAUCAGGGGACAGUGGAACUCCAGGUGGAGCGGUGAAAUGCGUAGAUAUCGGGAGGAACACCAGUGGCGAAGGCGGCUUCCUGGCCUGUUCUUGACGCUGAGGCGCGAAAGCUAGGGGAGCAAACGGG